rnacentral:lncRNA from 1 species
UGAUGACGAAAAUGUUGAAGAGAAAGAUUCAUCCAGACGUCGGAGUAAAGAUUAAUAAGGACAAUGAGCACAAUACUAAGCCUAAAGUUGCCUCUGAAGACCGUAAGAUCUUUGAAUCAAUUUCGCUUCUUCAAUCCCAAGGUACGUACAUUUUAAUUUCUUCAUUCGUUUAUUUUUUUAAUUUUUAUUUUCGUGCGUGUGCUAGAAUUGUUCCUAAUUAUACCAUUAACUAUUUUCGUUGACAGUUCAUCGAAAAAUAAUUAAGCUUUGUUAGCCCCUUCUACUAUAAAGGAGCUUAGAAAGUCCUUCUCCUUCGGCCUUUUACCAUACUUCCGUUUUGG